rnacentral:rRNA from 1 species
ACCCGCACAAGCGGUGGAUGAUGUGGUUAAUUCGAUACAACGCGAAAACCUUACCACCUUUGACAUGUACGGAAUCCUUUAGAGAUAGAGGAGUGCUCGAAAGAGAGCCGUAACACAGGUGCUGCAUGGCUGUCGUCAGCUCGUGUCGUGAGAUGUUGGGUUAAGUCCCGCAACGAGCGCAACCCUUGUCAUUAGUUGCUACAUUCAGUUGGGCACUCUAAUGAGACUGCCGGUGACAAACCGGAGGAAGGUGGGGAUGACGUCAAGUCCUCAUGGCCCUUAUAGGUGGGGCUACACACGUCAUACAAUGGAUGGUACAAAGGGUCGCCAACCCGCGAGGGGGAGCCAAUCCCACAAAGCCGGUCGUAGUCCGGAUCGCAGUCUGCAACUCGACUGCGUGAAGUCGGAAUCGCUAGUAAUCGCGGAUCAGCAUGUCGCGGUGAAUACGUUCCCGGGUCUU